UAAGUGUUAGAAGGGUUUUCCCGCCCUUUAGUGCUGCAGCAAAACGCAUUAAGCACUCCGCCUUGGGGGAGUACGGCCGCAAGGCUGAAACUCAAAGGAAUUGACGGGGGCCCGCACAAGCGGUGGAGCAUGUGGUUUAAUUUCGAAGCAACGCGAAGAACCUUACCAGGUCUUGACAUCCUCUGACAACCCUAGAGAUAGGGCUUUCCCCUUCGGGGGACAGAGUGACAGGUGGUGCAUGGUUGUCGUCAGCUCGUGUCGUGAGAUGUUGGGUUAAGUCCCGCAACGAGCGCAACCCUUGAUCUUAGUUGCCAGCAUUAAGUUGGGCACUCUAAGGUGACUGCCGGUGACAAACCGGAGGAAGGUGGGGAUGACGUCAAAUCAUCAUGCCCCUUAUGACCUGGGCUACACACGUGCUACAAUGGAUGGAACAAAGGGCAGCGAAGCCGCGAGGUGAAGCCAAUCCCAUAAAACCAUUCUCAGUUCGGAUUGCAGGCUGCAACUCGCCUGCAUGAAGCCGGAAUCGCUAGUAAUCGCGGAUCAGCAUGCCGCGGUGAAUACGUUCCCGGGCCUUGUACACACCGCCCGUCACACCACGAGAGUUUGUAACACCCGAAGUCGGUGGGGUAACCUUUUGGAGCCAGCCGCCUAAGGUGGGAUCAGAUGUUUUCUGAAGUCGUAACAAGGUAACACAG
rnacentral:rRNA from 1 species